rnacentral:lncRNA from 1 species
GCUUUUUGUCAAAUCCAUAGCACAGUUUCAAAUACCUUCAUGGGAGGUUCUUCCUCAGGCUGCUGUUUGCAAGACCCAACACGCUGCCAGGCUUUUUGUCUCCAGCUGGAGGGAAGAAAGUGAAAUGGCUUUUCAGUCAUCAGUCUCUUGACUAAUGGUUACAUGGGACUGGAUGAGCUUUGCAACUUGGUUGAGAUACUGUGGCUUUAUGACUGCAUAAAGGAAGUCCAGGAGCUUGUCUCUCACCACCAAGUCAAGUCUCAUGUUCCACUCCAGAAGGAAUUUCUUUUGUUGGAAUGGCCCAAAACAGGGUUUGGAGAGAUCACUGAUAAUGGAUGAGAAAAGGGAAGAGGAGG